rnacentral:lncRNA from 1 species
UCACCACCAAGAGACCCUGUGGACACCUUUCAUUAGUUUUCAAGAUUUCCAAAUUUCCACCGAAGAUUUCACCUUUAGGUCUUGUUUCUUGGUAUGGGUUUCUCUCAAAUUCCAUUUUUUUUUUUUUUUUGUAUUUGGGUGUCAAACAACAAAACCAAUGUCUUAUAGCUGAUUUUUUCUGACUCGACCAUGCUGCGUGAUGGGCGGAUAAGACAAUGUCUCAAAAAAGUCCAUCAAUACCAAAUUGGCUAUUGAAGCAGGGGAUUGAACGAGAAAGCUGCAGAUAUGAUAACUCAUAUUUUGAGUUUUAAAUUUAUUCAAAUCUGUGUAAUUUGUGUUAGAGUCAAUCUAGGUAUAUAUAUAUAUAUAUAUAUAGAGUAAGGUUCAUGCGAGAACCACCUUAUUGCGAGAACCGAGAGAAUCAAUGUGAACACAACCUAAAAUAGCUAAAAGAACCUAAAAAACCUAACCCCACCCCCCAAAAACCUAAACCCCCCACCCCCCCAAGCUAAAUGCUAAAAACUAAAAUCCUCAAAAAACCUAAAAAAAAACCUAACCCCCCCCCCACCACCCCCAAGCUAAAAUGCUAAAAACUAA